AUUGAACGCUGGCGGAAUGCUUUACACAUGCAAGUCGAACGGGAGAGGGGGCAACCCCUCGAGAGUGGCGAACGGGUGAGUAAUAUAUAGGAACGUGCCCAGUCGUGGGGGAUAACGUAGCGAAAGUUACGCUAAUACCGCAUACGAUCUAGGGAUGAAAGCGGGGGAUCGCAAGACCUCGCGCGAUUGGAGCGGCCGAUAUAAGAUGAGGUAGUUGGUGGGGUAAAGGCUCACCAAGCCAACGAUCUGUAGCUGGUCUGAGAGGACGACCAGCCACACUGGAACUGAGACACGGUCCAGACUCCUACGGGAGGCAGCAGUGGGGAAUUUUGGACAAUGGACACAAGUCUGAUCCAGCCAUUCCGCGUGCAGGAUGAAGGCCCUCGGGUUGUAAACUGCUUUUGUACGGAACGAAAAGGUCUCUCUUAAUACGGGGGACUCAUGACGGUACCGUAAGAAUAAGCACCGGCUAACUACGUGCCAGCCGCCGCCGUAA
rnacentral:rRNA from 1 species